AGUGAACGCUGGCGGUAGGCCUAACACAUGCAAGUCGAACGGCAGCACAGUAAGAGCUUGCUCUUACGGGUGGCGAGUGGCGGACGGGUGAGGAAUACAUCGGAAUCUACUUUUUCGUGGGGGAUAACGUAGGGAAACUUACGCUAAUACCGCAUACGACCUACGGGUGAAAGCAGGGGAUCUUCGGACCUUGCGCGAUUCAAUGAGCCGAUGUCGGAUUAGCUAGUUGGCGGGGUAAAGGCCCACCAAGGCGACGAUCCGUAGCUGGUCUGAGAGGAUGAUCAGCCACACUGGAACUGAGACACGGUCCAGACUCCUACGGGAGGCAGCAGUGGGGAAUAUUGGACAAUGGGCGCAAGCCUGAUCCAGCCAUACCGCGUGAGUGAAGAAGGCCUUCGGGUUGUAAAGCCCUUUUGUUGGGAAAGAAAAGCAGCAGAUUAAUACCCCGCUGUUCUGACGGUACCCAAAGAAUAAGCACCGGCUAACUUCGUG
rnacentral:rRNA from 1 species